rnacentral:lncRNA from 1 species
UAGAUAAUGAGCAAUGGAAUAUUCAAGAGCCCUGUACACAGGGUGGUGACCAACACAGAAAGAGAGAGGAUGAGUAUAGCUGUAUUCUGCAUCCCAGACUCAGAGAAAGAGAUUAAACCAGCUGAUGGGCUAAUCGAUGAAACAAGACCAAGAUUAUACAAGACAGUGAAGGAUUAUGUUAGUUUUUACUUUGAAUACUACCAGCAAGGGAAGAGAACAAUUGAAGCAGCAAUAAUCUAAUUUUCUUUAUAUAUGUACUUUUGGUAUCUUGUACUCUCAAUUUCUUCUGGUUUCUUGUACUCUCAAUUUCUUCUGGUUUCUACGAGUCAAAGACAACAGAAACUGAUUUCUCUAGUAUUUGUCAGAACACUAAGAAGAACCGACACAAAACAGAACAUGAUUACAGAUCCUUGAGUAAAGAAUUGUGUUAGAAAUAAGAAAAUGAACAAGAACCUGUACUCCAGACAAAAAUGGAGCUCCUCUUUUCAACAAAAUGGAGUUCCAGAAAAGCUAAUCACCAUUUUCAUCUUUGAAAAUAAAAAGUGAUGACCCUGGAACAACUUUGAAAACUGAACAAGAAGGAAUUAUAAAACACCAUUUUCAUCUCUAGCUUUUAACUAAUUACUUUAUCUCUAGCUUUUAACUAAUUAAACAAUUAUUUUAAUUAAGCAAUUAUUUUCAUGGAAACUUCUAAUAUAAACCCCAUAGGCUGUUUUACAUUCCCUAUGACCAAUAAGCUGUUUUACUAGCGUUACAUCAAAUAUCAAAGGAUGUUUUUGAAAACAAAUAACAAAAUAUAGGAAAUGUCCAAGCCUUGUCGUGUAAGGUAUCAAGAUUCAGGUAAGGUAAGUCUCCUGCUUUUCAAUGUUCCCAUUUUCCGCAGACCGCACAAAUAAAAAGCAAAGACAAAAAAAAAGUAUCUUGAAUAUCUUGAUCGGGAUCAUGGCAGCCGACAACAUCGAUUCCAUCUCAAAGUCCGUCCAAGAACUGGCCAUCGACGGCAAAGAGCCACUGGAAAAGUAUAUCCAAAAGGAAGUGACAGUGGAAAUUUUAAGUACUUCCGUUCCGUUUAUAGAGAUUCCUAUUAUUGAUAGUGGUCUUCUCCAAUCUCCAUUAACCAAAACAGAGGAGCUUCACAAACUCAGAUCAGCUCUUAGCUCCUGGGGUUGUUUUCAGGUCUUCUACUAUUAUUAAGUGUUGAUUGUGAUUUUAUUAGUAGACAGCUGCAUAUGGAUUAAUUUGUUUCCUAUAACAUGCUAAAGUUCGAACCUUGCAUAAGUAUUUUUUAAUAACCUUUCAAUCAUCUUGCUCCAUUCGUAUUUGGACGAUCUUUCUUUUACUUCUAAAUUCUAGCUCCGCCCCAGGUUUCACUGCAAAUAGAUUGUAUUGUAUCUGUGAAUAAAUAAAUACAAUUACCGGAAACGUUGCAAGUAAUAAAUCAUGAAAUGACAAAUUCAUUCUUGGCAGAAAUGCGUCAAGUUGCCAAGCAGUUUUUCUCACCACCAAUGGAAGAUAAGCAGAGAUACUCCAGAGAAACUAGCAGCGGUGAAGGGUAGGGAAAUGAUACUGUUCAUUUAGAACAUCGAAUACUUGAUUGGAUUGAUCGUUUAUAUCUUACGGUAAACCCUGAAGACCGGCGACAGCUCAGGUUUUGGCCUGAAAAUCCUCACCCUUUUAGGUAAUUAUCUUUUCAAACUUUAAUGGGUAGCUUUAAAAGUUACUCCAUUUCAGACCUGAAGGUCAUGGAUUCAAGCCAUGAGAAAUAUGGAAUGUUUUGUGUACUGGAUCACCCUAUUCUACCAAUCUUCCUCAAGUAUGAGAUGCUUUAUGCACCGAGUCACUCUAUCCCUUCAAACUUUUAGUUAAUCAUUAACUCUGCAAAAUUUGACAGCCAUGGCUAAAUGGAAAAAAAACAAUCUGCAGGGAAAUGCUAGAUGAAUUUGCCAAGAAGUCGCAGCGAAUACAAGAAAUUGUGCUUAAACAAAUGGCAAGGCCAUUAGGAUUGGAUGAGAAUUGCUUUUUGGAUCAACGUGGAGAACGACCAAUCGUUACUGCACAAUUUAACUAUUAUCCUCCAUGUCCAAUGCCUGGUAAAACUCUUGGGCUAAGACCACAUGCUGAUGGAUCAGUACUCACCAUUCUCUUGCAAGAAAAAGUGGUGGAAGGUCUUCAGUUCUUGAAAGACAAUCAAUGGUUUAGGGUUCCUAUCAUUCCAGAAGCUCUUCUUGUUAAUGUUGGCGAUCAAGCUGAGGUAAAUACUAAAAUUUUUUUGGUAUUUUUGUUUGAGGUGUUGGUGAGAAAUAUGAUCUAUUUUCUAUUGUUACUUGAGUUGCAGUUGAUGAAAACCCCUGUUAAAAAUAUAACUAGAAGUCAUUAAUAUUUUUAUUCAAUUGAUUAUAUAUAUGUACGUAUAUUGGAGUCUAAAGUUUUCAAGAUCAAGUUAUGCAGAUUUUGCGUUUCAAGUCUUGGAUAUUCCAAGAACAGUAAUAUUGGAUUAUUUGCGUAGAUAAUGAGCAAUGGAAUAUUCAAGAGAAAGGGAGAGGAUUAGUAUAGCUGAUGGGCUAAUCGAUGAAACAAGGCCAAGAUUAUACAAGACAGUGAAAGGCUAUGCUAGUUUUUAUACUGAAUACUAUCAGCAAGGGAAGCGACCAAUUGAAGCAGCAUUAAUCUAAUUUCCUUUAUGCAUACUUCUGGUUUCUUGUACUUAAAAUUUCUAGUGGUUUCUGUAAGUGAAAGACAACAGAAAAUGAUUUCUCAAGUAUUUGUCUGAACACUAGCAAGAACCUGAACAAAGCAGAACAUCAUUUCAAGUAAAGAAUUAAGCUAAAUCUAAGAAAAAAUUAUUACGAAAA